rfam:Brassica rapa chromosome A9, whole genome shotgun sequence.
UUAAGUGGCUAUGAUGAUAACAUUAUUAUCCCAGCUCAUUAUGAGGCCUUUUGUGGCCAAGGAAAAUAACUGUUUUCUUAACAUUUUCUGAGCUCUUAA